UGGUGUACUGAGGCUCUUCCUUAC
rnacentral:piRNA from 1 species